UGAAUAGUUGAACUAUAUGUUUUUAAAGGAAAGUUACCUCCGGCCUCCGCAUCAUGAUGAUGCAUGCAGCCACUUUAUUAACAAAGUUGUUCAAAAUAAGUGCAAUCCUAAAGGGUCUAACAAGAUCUCACGAAAAUAAGGAAAAUGACAUGCCACCACUAGCAGGAUAAAGAUAGACUACGAUGACUAAACACGUAGCCUAUUAGUAUGCCGCCAUUCAUAUCAAAUGAAUUUAUCCGGUGCUAUCAUCUCUCACUGGCUGCACCGAAUAACCAUAAUCUUCUUGGACUCCUCAGGCGUGAGUAACGACCACAUACGGAUUCAAGCAGUAGCUCUGUAGAUGACCUAGAAAAAAUUGUUGAAUUUCUUCUUGUUAAAUAUCAUAUCAUUUCUCCAAUUCAAUAUAGCCCAAAGCAUGUCACAAAUUCCUAUUCGAAUGUAUCUAGUUGUGAUGAGGUCUACUGCAUUGAGCCACGUCCUAAAUAACGUGUUCAUACUCGUUGGAAGAGUAAUGUUAAAAGCUAUAUGAAUAGUAUGUCAUAGAAGUCUUGCCAAAGGGCACUCGAGAAAGGUGUUUAAUAGUCUCAUUAUGAUCACAAAAGCAGCAUUUAGUAUUACCUACCCAUAUUCGUUUAACCAAGUCAUCCUUCGUAAGUAUCACUCCUUUAUGGACAAACCACAUGAAAAUCUUAAUCUUGAGUGCUACUUUAAUUUUCCAAAUGUGUGGAGAAAGUAGGUAUUAUUCUGACAUUGAUAAGGUCCACUUACAUUGAUUUCACGGAGGACCUAC
rnacentral:lncRNA from 1 species